UACGUAGGUGGCGAGCGUUGUCCGGAAUUAUUGGGCGUAAAGGGUGCGUAGGCGGUUACUUAAGUCUAGUUUGAAAGCCCAUGGCUUAACCAUGGAGGGCGACUGGAAACUGAGUAACUUGAGGAUAGGAGAGGAAAGUGGAAUUCCACGUGUAGCGGUGAAAUGCGUAGAGAUGUGGAGGAACACCAGUGGCGAAGGCGGCUUUCUGGCCUAUAACUGACGCUGAUGCACGAAAGCGUGGGUAGCAAACAGG
rnacentral:rRNA from 1 species